CCGCGCGAGAGGUUCUCGUUCUCGUUUGUGUGAUAGGGCUGGGCUACAACCGAAUUUUAGAUGAUUCUAUUUGAAACAAACCGGUAUACAUUAAAGCAGUUCGCAUCAGGCCGUUCUGUCAGCGCAGUAGGUGGGUAUCAUACUGGACUAAGGAGUAGAUGACCUUGAUUCGAAGCCAUACUUGGCAUUGCAGAUUAGUUUGCAUUGCAAUGCUUGACCGAAGGAGGUCAGAUUAUGUUCAGAUACGUCCCACUCACUGGCGUACUCAUUUUCUAAUUCUCUUUGACCUAGAAUCUAGACUUACCGCUCCCCUUCUUCAUGCCUGGUCUGUUAACCCGUUAAAGACAAACAAGGAAUGCAUUUGUUUUGGAUUUUUUAAAACUUAACUUCUUUCCUAACAGAUUUGUUAAUUCUGUCUCACACUUUAACAAGUCAUGCUUGCAAUGUAAUUAACAAUUUAGUGUUUUUUAUUUGACUGUUCAUCAUGGCGUGAAAUGCACUGCAACAUUGCCUUUGACAUUUGUUGAUCGGACUUUUUAAUAAUAUACAUAAAGUGUCGGUUAAGCGACUCAAAGAAUUAUUUUGUUUGUAAUUUCGAAGGGACAUUUUUUUCAAGAACCAGUAAUCCUUUUAUGAUAAUGGAAUUAACCGGUUAACCGAAUUUGAAAAGGAUUCUACCCAGCUCUUGUGCGCGAGAGUGUGAACAGUGGACCCAUAGAUAAUAACAUUCACAUGGUGUGUGCGGCAAGCUAGUACUACCUCAUACUACGUACUCAGUCUCUUGCUCUCUACGUGUGGAGGAAGAAUUCGCCGGUUCUGACUUCACAGUUGGUGACUUCGACAAAAAUUCAUCCCUUGAAUUGAGUGGAUCGACUUGUGACUACCUCCAGUUCCCUUUGUCUUGUGAUGUAAUCGUACCUUAUUGUGACACAGAUAUCUUCAACGGCUGAGGUAAGACACUGAUAACUAAUGAAACAGAGUAGAAACUGCUUUAACAAGCACAUGUCCUAGACAUUCACCUGUACAAAUAACCAAGUGAUUGUGUUGGACAGGUAUGACAGCCAAUUCCAGAAAGAGAAAUAUAAUCAAUGAGGCGUUUUACUUGUAUUUAUACGUCACCACAAACGGAGACACCAGAUGUGCCUCUUCCCGAGAUUUGUUUGCCCCUUAACCAGCUUUUGAAGGUGUCAGAAACGUAAGAGUAAGUCACAUUGAAAUCGUUUCGUUAAAAAUGAAAAGAUACCGCUGGAAAAAGGAGGAGACAUUAGCUCAAGACAGAAGUACAUGUACAUGGAUAGCUUUUGCAGGUGGCCACUUCUCCGGCACGGAGUGAAAAAAGGUGAAGAUAAUGAAAAGUAAGCAAGACAAGCAGAAAAAA